CCAAUACUUGAUUCGAUUUUUGGGCUUAUAGUAUGAGGACCAAAACUCAUACUGAGAAGAUAAAGGGGAAAACCAAUCAGGCGCAUAGAUAUACAUUCCUUAUAGCCUCAUGUGAAAUCUCAAAUUAUUCAGAUCUCAGAAUAAGAUCAUGGAAUAUAAUUAUAUAAACAUAAUGAUUAAUUUAAUAAUAAUAAUAAUAAUAAUAAUAAUAAUUAUUAUUAUUAUAAUAAUGUAGCAAAAACACUGACUAAUUGAAACAAAAGAUAACAAUCAAUAGACGUUAGGAAACAUCUCUUAUUUACCAUAAAUGACAUAGAUGUUCGCAAGCCGCAUUCAGCGAUCAGGGUGACCUAUAGAAAUAAUGGACAUGUGUACAUUGACUCACUUUGAUGCUGAGAUGACCGUGAAGCUGGUUGUAUGUUUGGUUGAGUACAGCGUGGCUUGUUCUGCUCGAGUGGCGCAAAUGGCAAGGUGUGUGUUCUGAGUGGAACCUUUGUAACACCCAUUAUUCAGAAAUGCAAGUGUAGGCUAUGCAUGUGUGUAACAAUUGCAUUUAAUUUGUACACGAUUGAAAGAUGGAUUGAUGCUUAGCUAACCACUUCAGCAACACGCCGAUAAACUGUAGCCUACCACGCCUCCAGCAUUGAUGCGCAACAAGGUGCUGUGUACGUGCGUACAUGGCUGCAACUCGAUUUCAUCCUGCAACUUUUGCCCAUUUUACUCAGAUAGGCUCUAUCUGUGCAAUUUAAGUCUACACCUCCAUCUUGUGGUAUAAACUUGUAAAGGCAUGCUUAUCUGAAAACAAUUACACCAAUAAAUGUAUAUUGCAUAAAAAAAUCAUAUAUUUUUUGGUAAAAUAGACCUUCGUUCAACUAACCUCCAGUCAGACUAGUGUCUGACUCUUUCCCAGUUGUUUUCCUCUCACGAAGGAACCUCUGUCAAACAAUGCGGUCCUAUUGGUGACAAACACAUGCUAACAAUAGAACAGAACUGGUUUACAUGUCUAAAUGAAGGCUUAAAAGAAGGGAUCUUGAAAAAAGUACAGAUACUGUGAUAUUAACGCAUGACAAAAACAGAAAUGUAAACGCAUAGACUGCCGUGGAUUAUGAUAACCGCUAGAUGGCGCCAGGAUGUAACCAUAUGUUAGGAUAUUUUAAAAUAGCACAUUAUGG
rnacentral:lncRNA from 1 species